GCUGGUUCUUUGCAAAAACAGUAACACUGAGCCAUCUCUACAGAUCCAACACUUCCUUUCUUUGGAAGAGCCAAUAUUCUACUUGCAAGAGAGAGGGGACAUGAACUCUACCCAAGAUCCCAAGACUGAAGGAGAGAAUGGACUCCCCAUAGCUGUCCUUUGAAUUUUACACAAGCCCUGUGGGAUGCACACAUCUGUGUUCGGAUACAUACUGUAUACACAUAAAUAAUAACAAUAAAAAUAAAAUCAAACGGCA